rnacentral:rRNA from 1 species
AUUGAACGCUGGCGGCAGGCCUAACACAUGCAAGUCGAACGAGUGGCGGAUGGGUGAGUAAUGUCUGGGAAACUGCCUGAUGGAGGGGGAUAACUACUGGAAACGGUAGCUAAUACCGCAUACCAUCGGAUGUGCCCAGCUGGGAUUAGCUAGUAGGUGGGGUAAAGGCUAACCUAGGCGACGAGCCCUAGCUGGUCUGAGAGGAUGACCAGCCACACGGGAACGGAGACCCGGUCCAGACUCCUACGUGAGGCAGCAGUGGAGAAUAUUGCACAAGGGGCGCAAGCCUGAUGCAGCCAUGCCGCGUGUAUGAAGAAGGCCUUCGGGUUGUAAAGUACGUUCAGCGGGGAGGCGUUACCCGCAGAAGAAGCACCGGCUAACUCCGUGCCAGCAGCCGCGGUAAUAC